AUUGAACGCUGGCGGCAGGCCUAACACAUGCAAGUCGGGCGAGUGGCGGACGGGUGAGUAAUGUAUGGGAAUCUGCCUGAUGGAGGGGGAUAACUACUGGAAACGGUAGCUAAUACCGCAUACCAUCAGAUGAACCCAUAUGGGAUUAGCUUGUAGGUGGGGUAACGGCUCACCUAGGCGACGAUCCCUAGCUGGUCUGAGAGGAUGACAAGCCACACUGGAAUUGAGACACGGCCCAGACUCCUACGGGAGGCAGCAGUGGGGAAUAUUGCACAAUGGGCGCAAGCCUGAUGCAGCCAUGCCGCGUGUAUGAAGAAGGCCUUCGGGUUGUAAAGUACUUUCAGUCGGGAGGCGUUACCGACAGAAGAAGCACCGGCUAACGCCGUGCCAGCAGCCGCGGUAAUGC
rnacentral:rRNA from 1 species